CAGUAGCUCAGUUGGAUAGAGCAACCGCCUUCUAAGCUGUAGGUCAGGAGUUCGAAUCUCUUCUGG
rnacentral:tRNA from 1 species